rnacentral:rRNA from 1 species
GGUUAAGCGACUAAGCGUACACGGUGGAUGCCCUGGCAGUCAGAGGCGAUGAAGGACGUGCUAAUCUGCGAAAAGCGUCGGUAAGGUGAUAUGAACCGUUAUAGCCGGCGAUGUCCGAAUGGGGAAACCCAGUGCAAUUCGUUGCACUAUCGUUAACUGAAUACAUAGGUUAACGAGGCGAACCGGGGGAACUGAAACAUCUAAGUACCCCGAGGAAAAGAAAUCAACCGAGAUUCCCCCAGUAGCGGCGAGCGAACGGGGAGCAGCCCAGAGUCUGAAUCAGCUUGUGUGUUAGUGGAACGGUCUGGAAAGUCCGACGGUACAGGGUGAUAGUCCCGUACACCAAAAUGCACAGGCUGUGAACUCGAAGAGUAGGGCGGGACACGUGGUAUCCUGUCUGAAUAUGGGGGGACCAUCCUCCAAGGCUAAAUACUCCUGACUGACCGAUAGUGAACCAGUACCGUGAGGGAAAGGCGAAAAGAACCCCGGCGAGGGGAGUGAAAAAGAACCUGAAACCGUGUACGUACAAGCAGUGGGAGCACCUUCGGGUGUGACUGCGUACCUUUUGUAUAAUGGGUCAGCGACUUAUAUUCUGUAGCAAGGUUAACCGUAUAGGGGAGCCGCAGGGAAACCGAGUCUUAACUGGGCGUUAAGUUGCAGGGUAUAGACCCGAAACCCGGUGAUCUAGCCAUGGGCAGGUUGAAGGUUGGGUAACACUAACUGGAGGACCGAACCGACUAAUGUUGAAAAAUUAGCGGAUGACUUGUGGCUGGGGGUGAAAGGCCAAUCAAACCGGGAGAUAGCUGGUUCUCCCCGAAAGCUAUUUAGGUAGCGCCUCGUGAAUUCAUCUUCGGGGGUAGAGCACUGUUUCGGCUAGGGGGUCAUCCCGACUUACCAACCCGAUGCAAACUACGAAUACCGAAGAAUGUUAUCACGGGAGACACACGGCGGGUGCUAACGUCCGUCGUGAAGAGGGAAACAACCCAGACCGCCAGCUAAGGUCCCAAAGUCAUGGUUAAGUGGGAAACGAUGUGGGAAGGCACAGACAGCCAGGAUGUUGGCUUAGAAGCAGCCAUCAUUUAAAGAAAGCGUAAUAGCUCACUGGUCGAGUCGGCCUGCGCGGAAGAUGUAACGGGGCUAAACCAUGCACCGAAGCUGCGGCAGCGACACUAUGUGUUGUUGGGUAGGGGAGCGUUCUGUAAGCCUGCGAAGGUGACCUGUGAGGGUUGCUGGAGGUAUCAGAAGUGCGAAUGCUGACAUAAGUAACGAUAAAGCGGGUGAAAAGCCCGCUCGCCGGAAGACCAAGGGUUCCUGUCCAACGUUAAUCGGGGCAGGGUGAGUCGACCCCUAAGGCGAGGCCGAAAGGCGUAGUCGAUGGGAAACAGGUUAAUAUUCCUGUACUUGGUGUUACUGCGAAGGGGGGACGGAGAAGGCUAUGUUAGCCGGGCGACGGUUGUCCCGGUUUAAGCAUGUAGGCUGGUUAUCCAGGCAAAUCCGGAUAAUCAAGGCUGAGGUGUGAUGACGAGGCACUACGGUGCUGAAGUAACAAAUGCCCUGCUUCCAGGAAAAGCCUCUAAGCAUCAGGUAACAUCAAAUCGUACCCCAAACCGACACAGGUGGUCAGGUAGAGAAUACCAAGGCGCUUGAGAGAACUCGGGUGAAGGAACUAGGCAAAAUGGUGCCGUAACUUCGGGAGAAGGCACGCUGGUGUGUAGGUGAAGCCCCUGCGGGUGGAGCUGAGACCAGUCGAAGAUACCAGCUGGCUGCAACUGUUUAUUAAAAACACAGCACUGUGCAAACACGAAAGUGGACGUAUACGGUGUGACGCCUGCCCGGUGCCGGAAGGUUAAUUGAUGGGGUUAUCCGUAAGGAGAAGCUCUUGAUCGAAGCCCCGGUAAACGGCGGCCGUAACUAUAACGGUCCUAAGGUAGCGAAAUUCCUUGUCGGGUAAGUUCCGACCUGCACGAAUGGCGUAAUGAUGGCCAGGCUGUCUCCACCCGAGACUCAGUGAAAUUGAACUCGCUGUGAAGAUGCAGUGUACCCGCGGCAAGACGGAAAGACCCCGUGAACCUUUACUAUAGCUUGACACUGAACAUUGAGCCUUGAUGUGUAGGAUAGGUGGGAGGCUUUGAAGCGUGGACGCCAGUCUGCGUGGAGCCAACCUUGAAAUACCACCCUUUAAUGUUUGAUGUUCUAACGUUGGCCCCUUACCGGGGUUGCGGACAGUGUCUGGUGGGUAGUUUGACUGGGGCGGUCUCCUCCCAAAGCGUAACGGAGGAGCACGAAGGUUAGCUAAUCCUGGUCGGACAUCAGGAGGUUAGUGCAAUGGCAUAAGCUAGCUUGACUGCGAGCGUGACGGCGCGAGCAGGUGCGAAAGCAGGUCAUAGUGAUCCGGUGGUUCUGAAUGGAAGGGCCAUCGCUCAACGGAUAAAAGGUACUCCGGGGAUAACAGGCUGAUACCGCCCAAGAGUUCAUAUCGACGGCGGUGUUUGGCACCUCGAUGUCGGCUCAUCACAUCCUGGGGCUGAAGUAGGUCCCAAGGGUAUGGCUGUUCGCCAUUUAAAGUGGUACGCGAGCUGGGUUUAGAACGUCGUGAGACAGUUCGGUCCCUAUCUGCCGUGGGCGCUGGAGAAUUGAGGGGGGCUGCUCCUAGUACGAGAGGACCGGAGUGGACGCAUCACUGGUGUUCGGGUUGUCAUGCCAAUGGCACUGCCCGGUAGCUAAAUGCGGAAGAGAUAAGUGCUGAAAGCAUCUAAGCACGAAACUUGCCCCGAGAUGAGUUCUCCCUGAGACUUUAAGUCUCCUGAAGGAACGUUAAAGACGAUGACGUUGAUAGGCCGGGUGUGUAAGCGCAGCGAUGCGUUGAGCUAACCGGUACUAAUGAACCGUGAGGCUUAACCUU